rnacentral:rRNA from 1 species
AGCGUACACGGUGGAUGCCCUGGCAGUCAGAGGCGAUGAAGGACGUGCUAAUCUGCGAUAAGCGUCGGUAAGGUGAUAUGAACCGUUAUAACCGGCGAUUUCCGAAUGGGGAAACCCAGUGUGAUUCGUCACACUAUCAUUAACUGAAUCCAUAGGUUAAUGAGGCGAACCGGGGGAACUGAAACAUCUAAGUACCCCGAGGAAAAGAAAUCAACCGAGAUUCCCCCAGUAGCGGCGAGCGAACGGGGAGCAGCCCAGAGCCUGAAUCAGUGUGUGUGUUAGUGGAAGCGUCUGGAAAGGCGCGCGAUACAGGGUGACAGCCCCGUACACAAAAAUGCACAUGCUGUGAGCUCGAUGAGUAGGGCGGGACACGUGGUAUCCUGUCUGAAUAUGGGGGGACCAUCCUCCAAGGCUAAAUACUCCUGACUGACCGAUAGUGAACCAGUACCGUGAGGGAAAGGCGAAAAGAACCCCGGCGAGGGGAGUGAAAAAGAACCUGAAACCGUGUACGUACAAGCAGUGGGAGCACAGAGCAAUCUGUGUGACUGCGUACCUUUUGUAUAAUGGGUCAGCGACUUAUAUUCUGUAGCAAGGUUAACCGAAUAGGGGAGCCGAAGGGAAACCGAGUCUUAACUGGGCGUUAAGUUGCAGGGUAUAGACCCGAAACCCGGUGAUCUAGCCAUGGGCAGGUUGAAGGUUGGGUAACACUAACUGGAGGACCGAACCGACUAAUGUUGAAAAAUUAGCGGAUGACUUGUGGCUGGGGGUGAAAGGCCAAUCAAACCGGGAGAUAGCUGGUUCUCCCCGAAAGCUAUUUAGGUAGCGCCUCGUGAAUUCAUCUCCGGGGGUAGAGCACUGUUUCGGCAAGGGGGUCAUCCCGACUUACCAACCCGAUGCAAACUGCGAAUACCGGAGAAUGUUAUCACGGGAGACACACGGCGGGUGCUAACGUCCGUCGUGAAGAGGGAAACAACCCAGACCGCCAGCUAAGGUCCCAAAGUCAUGGUUAAGUGGGAAACGAUGUGGGAAGGCCCAGACAGCCAGGAUGUUGGCUUAGAAGCAGCCAUCAUUUAAAGAAAGCGUAAUAGCUCACUGGUCGAGUCGGCCUGCGCGGAAGAUGUAACGGGGCUAAACCAUGCACCGAAGCUGCGGCAGCGACGCUUAUGCGUUGUUGGGUAGGGGAGCGUUCUGUAAGCCUGCGAAGGUGUGCUGUGAGGCAUGCUGGAGGUAUCAGAAGUGCGAAUGCUGACAUAAGUAACGAUAAAGCGGGUGAAAAGCCCGCUCGCCGGAAGACCAAGGGUUCCUGUCCAACGUUAAUCGGGGCAGGGUGAGUCGACCCCUAAGGCGAGGCCGAAAGGCGUAGUCGAUGGGAAACAGGUUAAUAUUCCUGUACUUGGUGUUACUGCGAAGGGGGGACGGAGAAGGCUAUGUUGGCCGGGCGACGGUUGUCCCGGUUUAAGCGUGUAGGCUGGUUUUCCAGGCAAAUCCGGAAAAUCAAGGCUGAGGCGUGAUGACGAGGCACUACGGUGCUGAAGCAACAAAUGCCCUGCUUCCAGGAAAAGCCUCUAAGCAUCAGGUAACAUCAAAUCGUACCCCAAACCGACACAGGUGGUCAGGUAGAGAAUACCAAGGCGCUUGAGAGAACUCGGGUGAAGGAACUAGGCAAAAUGGUGCCGUAACUUCGGGAGAAGGCACGCUGAUAUGUAGGUGAAGUCCCUCGCGGAUGGAGCUGAAAUCAGUCGAAGAUACCAGCUGGCUGCAACUGUUUAUUAAAAACACAGCACUGUGCAAACACGAAAGUGGACGUAUACGGUGUGACGCCUGCCCGGUGCCGGAAGGUUAAUUGAUGGGGUUAGCGCAAGCGAAGCUCUUGAUCGAAGCCCCGGUAAACGGCGGCCGUAACUAUAACGGUCCUAAGGUAGCGAAAUUCCUUGUCGGGUAAGUUCCGACCUGCACGAAUGGCGUAAUGAUGGCCAGGCUGUCUCCACCCGAGACUCAGUGAAAUUGAACUCGCUGUGAAGAUGCAGUGUACCCGCGGCAAGACGGAAAGACCCCGUGAACCUUUACUAUAGCUUGACACUGAACAUUGAGCCUUGAUGUGUAGGAUAGGUGGGAGGCUUUGAAGUGUGGACGCCAGUCUGCAUGGAGCCGACCUUGAAAUACCACCCUUUAAUGUUUGAUGUUCUAACGUGGACCCGUAAUCCGGGUUGCGGACAGUGUCUGGUGGGUAGUUUGACUGGGGCGGUCUCCUCCUAAAGAGUAACGGAGGAGCACGAAGGUUGGCUAAUCCUGGUCGGACAUCAGGAGGUUAGUGCAAUGGCAUAAGCCAGCUUGACUGCGAGCGUGACGGCGCGAGCAGGUGCGAAAGCAGGUCAUAGUGAUCCGGUGGUUCUGAAUGGAAGGGCCAUCGCUCAACGGAUAAAAGGUACUCCGGGGAUAACAGGCUGAUACCGCCCAAGAGUUCAUAUCGACGGCGGUGUUUGGCACCUCGAUGUCGGCUCAUCACAUCCUGGGGCUGAAGUAGGUCCCAAGGGUAUGGCUGUUCGCCAUUUAAAGUGGUACGCGAGCUGGGUUUAGAACGUCGUGAGACAGUUCGGUCCCUAUCUGCCGUGGGCGCUGGAGAACUGAGGGGGGCUGCUCCUAGUACGAGAGGACCGGAGUGGACGCAUCACUGGUGUUCGGGUUGUCAUGCCAAUGGCACUGCCCGGUAGCUAAAUGCGGAAGAGAUAAGUGCUGAAAGCAUCUAAGCACGAAACUUGCCCCGAGAUGAGUUCUCCCUGACUCCUUGA